CUACGUAGGGGGCGAGCGUUGUCCGGAAUGAUUGGGCGUAAAGGGCGCGUAGGCGGCGCGGUAAGUCUGGAGUGAAAGUCCUGCUUUCAAGGUGGGAAUUGCUUUGGAUACUGCCGCGCUUGAGUGCAGGAGAGGUUAUCGGAAUUCCCGGUGUAGCGGUGAAAUGCGUAGAGAUCGGGAGGAACACCAGUGGCGAAGGCGGGUAACUGGACUGCAACUGACGCUGAGGCGCGAAAGUGUGGGGAGCAAACAGGAUUAGAUACCCUGGUAGUCCACACCGUAAACGAUGAAUGCUAGGUGUAAGAGGUAUCGACCCCUUUUGUGCCGGAGUCAACACAAUAAGCAUUCCGCCUGGGGAGUACGGCCGCAAGGUUGAAACUCAAAGGAAUUGACGGGG
rnacentral:rRNA from 1 species